AUGCCAAGCUUAAGCAGAUUUUUAUCUCUUUUAUUGAUCCUCCAUAUCUUGUUAUGUUAGACCCUAGGUAUUUAAAUGAGUCAACUGCUUCAUUCAAUAUCUCAUACUAUCUCCAACACAAACUAGUAUUUUGCUUUUUAUCAGCACUGAUUUCCAUACCAACUACUCUAGCUACAGCACAUUCAGUUUUGAAGUAAGAUCUUGUACCUGGUCUACAUUUUCUCCAAUUUGAGAUUGAAAAUAGUCCGCUCAUUUACGGUCAAGCUAGUAAAUCCUUAUAUAUGUUUCAUCAUAAUAUGACGCUCCAGAAAUAUGUUAAAAAGAGCUGGAGAAUGCAUCCUUGGAUAUCCAAUGGAUAUCCUUAAACUUUGUCCUAUUUGAUCCUUUUCAGAAGUAC